rfam:Magnaporthe poae ATCC 64411 unplaced genomic scaffold supercont1.11, whole genome shotgun sequence.
ACAUACGACCAUACCCACUGGAAUAUACGGGAUCCCGUCCGCUCUCCCCUAGUCAAACCAGUGAGGGCCAUUUUAGUAUUGGGAGAUAGUUGGGUUCCCGCAUUGGCCAAUCAAUGGCCUCAUUCAGC